rnacentral:rRNA from 1 species
UACGUAGGUGGCGAGCGUUGUCCGGAUUUACUGGGCGUAAAGAGCGCGCAGGCGGUCGUUCAAGUCGCGUGUGAAAGCCCCCGGCUCAACUGGGGGGGGUCACGCGAUACUGAUCGACUCGAAGGCAGGAGAGGGUAGUGGAAUUCCCGGUGUAGUGGUGAAAUGCGUAGAUAUCAGGAGGAACACCGAUGGCGAAGGCAGGUCUCUGGGCAUUAACUGACGCUGAGGAGCGAAAGCAUGGGGAGCGAACAGG